rnacentral:snRNA from 1 species
UUCCUGACACAGUGACACUAUUGUAGCCAAUGAGGUUUAACUGAGGUGAUUAUUGCUAAUUGAAAACUUUUCUGAUAUCUCACCAUGAGGACCAGAUUAUAUUGCCUACUAUUUUAACUCUGCCUCUCAUUUUCCUAUUAUCUAAAAAUUUGAUUAAAU